rnacentral:tRNA from 1 species
GUCUCAGUAGCAUAGUGGGUAAUGCACAGGCUCUGUUAGGCGCCAGACGCGGGCUCGAAUCCCGCCUGAGGUG